AAGCGAAACCCCGGACAGUCCGGGGUCAUCGGCGGGUGGUUCCGCCGGUUUGAAAAGCAGCCUGAA
rnacentral:hammerhead_ribozyme from 2 species